AUUGAACGCUGGCGGCAGGCCUAACACAUGCAAGUCGAACGAGUGGCGGACGGGUGAGUAAUGUCUGGGAAACUGCCUGAUGGAGGGGGAUAACUACUGGAAACGGUAGCUAAUACCGCAUACCAUCGGAUGUGCCCAGAUGGGAUUAGCUUGUAGGUGAGGUAACGGCUCACCUAGGCGACGAUCCCUAGCUGGUCUGAGAGGAUGACCAGCCAAACUUGAACUUAGACAAGGUCCAGACUCCUGCGGGGGGCAGCAGUGGGGAAUAUUGCACAAUGGGCGCAAGCCUGAUGCAGCCAUGCCGCGUGUAUGAAGAAGGCCUUCGGGUUGUAAAGUACUUUCAGCGGGGAGGCGUUACCCGCAGAAGAAGCACCGGCUAACUCCGUGCCAGCAGCCGCGGUAAUUC
rnacentral:rRNA from 1 species